CCCAUAGCUCAGCUGGUUAGAGCAUCCGGCUCAUAACCGGGCGGUCACUGGUUCGAAUCCAGUUGGGCC
rnacentral:tRNA from 1 species